AUUGAACGCUGGCGGCAGGCCUAACACAUGCAAGUCGAACGGUAACAGGAAGCAGCUUGCUGCUUUGCUGACGAGUGGCGGACGGGUGAGUAAUGUCUGGGAAACUGCCUGAUGGAGGGGGAUAACUACUGGAAACGGUAGCUAAUACCGCAUAACGUCGCAAGACCAAAGAGGGGGACCUUAGGGCCUCUUGCCAUCGGAUGUGCCCAGAUGGGAUUAGCUAGUAGGUGGGGUAACGGCUCACCUAGGCGACGAUCCCUAGCUGGUCUGAGAGGAUGACCAGCCACACUGGAACUGAGACACGGUCCAGACUCCUACGGGAGGCAGCGGUGGGGAAUAUUGCACAAUGGGCGCAAGCCUGAUGCAGCCAUGCCGCGUGUAUGAAGAAGGCCUUCGGGUUGUAAAGUACUUUCAGCGGGGAGGAAGGGAGUAAAGUUAAUACCUUUGCUCAUUGACGUUACCCGCAGAAGAUGCACCGGCUAACUCCGUG
rnacentral:rRNA from 1 species